ACUGAAUGAAUGAGGUUGGUAACUCUAAGCCAUCCAUUUACUGCACUGCACUGAAUGAAUGAGGUUGGUAACUCUGAGCCAUCCAUUUACUGCACUGCAUUGAAUGAAUGAGGUUGGUAACUCUAAGCCAUCCAUUUACUGCACUGCAUGG